AGAGUUUGAUCCUGGCUCAGAACGAACGCUGGCGGCGUGGCUAAGACAUGCAAGUCGAACGGACUGCUCAAUUUAUUGGACAGUUAGUGGCGAAAGGGUUAGGAACGGAUGGGUAACGUACCCUGUGCUUUGGGAUAGCGUCAUCCCGACUUCGGUCGGGAUUUCCGAAAGGGGCGGUAAUACCAAAUAAUAUCAUUCGUCGAUAGGCGGAUGAUCAAAGAUUUAUCGGCAUAGGAGCGGCCUGUUUCCUAUCAGCUUGUUGGUGAGGUAAUGGCUCACCAAGGCAUCGACGGGUAGCGGGACUGAGAGGUUGACCCGCAACAUCGGGACUGAGACACUGCCCGGACCUCCACGGAGGGCUGCAGUAACGAAUAUUGUGCAAUGGGCGAAAGCCUGACACAGCGACGCCGCGUGUAGGAGGAAGUCUUUCGGGAUGUAAACUACUGUCAGGGGGAAGAAAGUGCGCUUCGGCGCAUUGAUCUACCCCAGAGGAAGUCACGGCUAACUUCGUGCCAGCAGCCGCGGUAAGACGAAGGUGGCAAGCGUUGUUCGGUAUUACUGGGCUUAAAGCGUGUGUAGGCGGAAAAGUAAGCGUUUCGUGAAAUCCCCCGGCUUAACCGGGGAACUGCGCAACGAACUGCUUUUCUUGAGGCAAGUAGGGGUGCAUGGAACUCUUGGUGGAGCGGUGGAAUGCGUAGAUAUCAAGAGGAACGCCAGUGGAGAAAUCGGUGCACUGGGCUUGUCCUGACGCUGAGACACGAAAGCGUGGGUAGCGAACGGGAUUAGAUACCCCGGUAGUCCACGCCGUAAACGAUGCCUACUAGGUUGUGAAAGUUCUGACACUGGCACAGCCGAAGCAAAGUGUUAAGUAGGCCGCCUGGGGAGUACGGUCGCAAGGCUAAACUCAAAGGAAUUGACGGGCUCACACAGCGUGGAGCAUGUGAUCAUUCGAAGCACGCGUAGAACUUACCUGGGUUCGACAUGCUGAUGCCGCCUCGAAAAGGGGGUGGCUGCCUCGGUGAAACAUGCACAGUGCUGCCAUGCUGUCGUCAGCUCUGUCCUGGAAAUGUCGGUAAUCCUUUUACGAGCGAAACCAUUGCCGUAGUGUCCAUGCGCUAUGCCCGGGACCUAACGGACUGUCAGGGUUAAACCUAGAAGUGGAGGACCUCAAUCAUCUAUGCCUAUGUCUAGGCCCUCCAACUGCUCAAU
rnacentral:rRNA from 1 species